AGUUCUAGAGAUUGGAUUUCACUCAAAACCACCAAAUGACACCUCCCACAAUUUUCUGAUGUUCCCAGAGUUUUGGAGUCAAUACGAUAUCUAUUGGUCCAUAAAAUCGGACAAUUCAGGUUCGUACGAAGUUCAUUCUUAAAUUGAGUGGUUGGUGUAUUGCAUUGUUUUAGCCAUUGGAUUUCACUCAAAACUCACAAAAUAACUUCUCC
rnacentral:lncRNA from 1 species